UUUCCGGCUGUGUGUCCAAUGGGGAGAAAGACGUAAGCGGGACUCUUCAAAUUUUCAGUCUUUAUCGUCUCCAGUGCUCGUCUUCUCGCUGUUAAUUUUCACACACUGGAAGGCCACGAGGGGAGCGAUGGACGUGUUUCCCAAGCUACUGCUGCGGCCUGAAGUUGAAGAUCACUUGAGGAACACAUUUAGAAAUGCAGAGCUCCUGCAUACGCUGAGCCAUGAAGAGGCGAAUGGAAGGUUUGAACAGCUGCUGAGUCGCCUCUCGCACCCUCCGUC